ensembl:lncRNA
AAAGAAGCAUGCAAGCAACAGUUCACAAAGCAUGCAGAGUAACAAUUAAAAGCAACAAACAGCUCAGUGAUUAUUUUCACAAUACUCUACAUGCAGCCAUGCAAAACAGAACAAAGACAAAUGAGCAACACUGCUGAUUAAGCAUAAUUUGCACACAUUUGCUCUGCAAGGCAAUGAAGUAUAGAUAAAAUGCUUUUUCCCUAUCCAGAAUUAUUCAUCUUAACAAGGUCAUGGUGUACGUAUGUGUAAGCAUAACUCUUGAAUAACAAUUGUAAAAAUUGGAAUAGCUUGCAAAAUACACUUUGUCUUUCACUUUCUUUGUUGCAGGUUCCCGAAGAUCCACGUGUCUGUUUUCAUAAAGUACCAGUCGAUCAACAUCAGCUUAAAAAGGAGGGAGGCGGUCCGAGUGUGUGGUGGAAAGGAAUUCUGUUGAACCAGCCAGCCUGCCUUUUGCAACUACCUGCCAAAAAACCCCAAUGUAACCUACCUUUGAUGUUGUGCUCACCGUUGUGCUCACAGUCCUAACGUCAUCCCCAGCAUUUAGAUGGAGCCCAAAGCACUUCUAUCCUAAUGUGUCCGAGCCUUGCACAACAUUUCAUAGACCAUGGCAAGGGGCAGAGACUGUUAAUCUGUCGACAAGUAUAUGGACUACCCACUACCUACCUGCAAAGACACAGGGUUGACAUUGUACACUUGCAUUGUGAGCACAGACAAAACACAAACACACACUCACACUCACACACACACACACACACACACACACACACACACACUACAACCAAUGUUCCCUCUAAUUUUUCACGUGUCUGAGCGAACGCACAAACUCCCUGAGCGGUCCCUUGGACCUCUGUGAGCAACAGCAGACGUGUGCACUGUGGUCACGGCAGCAUUGAAUCCAUCCAAGUUACACGGUUUAUUAAAAUAAUCAAAUUACAGCAUUUAUGUUAGACUACUUUUAAUUAACUGCUUUAGCCCACUUACAAUGAAAAUUAAAAAGAAAUCUUGUUCAUGACCUGUGUAGCAUGUUAACACUAUUGGAAGUAAAAAUAACUUGAACUCCAAUUUUGAAAACACAACUUUCUUCUUUUUUCUUUCUUUUUUUUUUAUAAAGCUCUGACUUGUAUUAUGAGUAUGAGUCUGUGGUCUGGGAGAGAGUCCUGUAAGUCUCUGUCUGCAAAAUACAGUAUAUAAUGACCAAUGUUGGGCAAUUAAUUAUAUAGUUACUUCUUUAAAAAAGUAACAGAGUUAUGCAAACAACAACAUUUUUUGCAGCUGUUUACCCAAAAUGCAGCCAAGGCGGUUUUUUAAAUAAACAAACUAUUUACAGAACAAUCAGCUGUUCUGCAUCAAAUCUGAUGCCACACAAAUCAUUUGUGCCACUCCAACAAAUAAUUUCUGUCCACUAUGAGAUAAAGGAGAACAACAGCCUGAUAGCUGCAGGCCUGACAACAGGAGAUGUAUCACUCCUGUAACACCUGUAACAUUCAGCAGUCACCUCAUUGUUCUGACACACACAACAAAACUAUUGACUACACUACACACUAACUGCACAAGAUUUGCGCUAAAUGUCGCAAAUCUCUCACAUCUCAAAACACCGCCGUCACUCCUAAAACUUCCCUCUUCCUAAACAACUAAAUGCCAUGUUGCCAUAUCAUUUUUUGAUUGGUCGACAUGGUACAUUUUUCCACCAAUAGGAAGGAGUGGGGUUUUUUUGGUUUUGUUUUUGCUCACAGGUGGAGAGGGCUUUCGAGCGUUUUCCUUAUAAAACGCAGUUUUUACCUUUCUUCCUGCACUAAAUAUAAACAACGAUAGUAUUCAGGAAGAAAACCAAACAUUGCAGAUAUUUUUAUCAGAACUCUGGUUUUACAUGGCCUAUCAACACAAUUUAAAAACUGGUAUAAAGUCAACACUUUUUCCGUCAAUUGUUCCGUUUGUCCUGCUCACAUCUCCAAUGGUUGUACACGUUGUCAUUGACGCCAUGCCGCUUUGCUAGCUAAAACACCGGUGUCGGCACAUAAGGACGCUGUCAUAGCCUGUCAGCGACGUUGAUUAGCUUUGUAUAUACAAAUGUGAAUCACAUUAUUGGCUGGACUAUGGGAUAAGGUGGCAUCGUUGUAAUCCCAUACGGGAGCAGCCAGUACUUACUGACUAACACGGCAAAACAGAAUUGUUAAAGUAUUCAUUUUAAUUUCAUUCAGGUUAGAUUUUUUUUCUGUGUGCAAUGCAGAUUUUCUGUGCGCAGAGACCGUGCCAGCAGUGCGCAAUUGCGCACCCGCGCAGCUUAGAGGGAACAUUGACUACAACUCAUACACAAGAUUUUACAUUCAAACAAAAAAUAAACAAAAUUCUGUAAUUACAAGUAUUAAAGUAUGUUAACACUUAGCUGUGUGUGUCAACGUCAGAAUGCCUAUCAUGUUUUAUUUGUGAAAAGAAGAAACUUCUCAUUUUCAGAUAAUAUCGGGUUUAUGUAAAUCUGUUGUGUUUAGGUUUGACACUUAAAAGAGAGUUUUAUUUGCUUAUGUGCCCCCACCCCCCUUGUUCCCCCUCACUUUACUAGAGAAAAGGAUAUUUAAGACUCUUUUAUAAGAAUAUUGUCACCUAAAACAGACACAACUUGUAUUACAAAGUAUGUACAGUAAAUAUUUAAGAUGUUAUAGGUAUUUUAACUAAGUCCAUUUAAUGCCCCGCUAGCUAACUUUGCACAGCGCUUCAGUUUAAGAAGAAAUCUAAUAUUUUAUAGUUUGUGUAUCUACACUGUGAUGGUGGCUAUUAGGACUGCUGCAGGACUCCUAGCUACUGUAUGACUGUGUGGUUCUGUAUGAGUGCAUACCGUAAGGAGGUCAGUGGGUAUUUGAGGGAGUGCAUGCACGUAUGUGAGUGCUGGUGUGAAUGUGGUGUGUGCAAUAGUUUGUUGGUCUAGUGAACCAAUAUGCCAGCCUCACACACAGUUGUCCUGUUGUUAAUCUAAAUCUGUGGGUCUAUGUCUUAGUCCAGGUCUCUUUCUGUUUCUCCCUCUUUGACUCCUUUUGUCUCUUUGCUUUGUUGGGACAUACAGGGUAACAUAAAGGGGGUGGGAGUAUAACGUGGGGUGACUGGUGUGCCUGAGUAUUGAACUCAAGUAAUAAUGAAUUAGUAAGGCCUGUCCCAGCCUCACCUGUGGGUGUGUUCUUGUGUAAAUAGAUAUUCUGUAGAUGCCAAUUAGCAAAUAUGGAAAAGAUGAUUAACUUACAGCAUUGGAAGAGGUUCCUUAAAAAAUAAUAUUAACACUUAAUAAAGGUUUUCACUGUAAAUCUCUGUUGUGCUUUUUAAAAUUUAUUAUUUUAACCAAAGCUAUGAAGUUUUUAAAGGGCAAACCAUGUAAAUGGAUGAGACAUGUGACAGUAUAUAUAAUAAUAAAAAAUACACAUUAUGGUUUAUUCUCUGCUGUUUAAAUGGCUAAAGCAGCCUUGCACCCUCCCCCCUGUCCGUUCAUUUAC